UACGUAGGGUGCAAGCGUUGUCCGGAUUUAUUGGGCGUAAAGAGCUCGUAGGUGGUUUGCUGCGUCCGCUGUGAAAACCCAAGGCUUAACCUUGGGCUUGCAGUGGAUACGGGCAGACUAGAGGUAGGUAGGGGAGAAUGGAAUUCCCGGUGUAGCGGUGAAAUGCGCAGAUAUCGGGAGGAACACCGGUGGCGAAGGCGGUUCUCUGGGCCUUACCUGACACUGAGGAGCGAAAGCGUGGGGAGCGAACAGG
rnacentral:rRNA from 1 species